rnacentral:rRNA from 1 species
CCUUCGGGACAGAGGAGACAGGUGGUGCAUGGUUGUCGUCAGCUCGUGUCGUGAGAUGUUGGGUUAAGUCCCGCAACGAGCGCAACCCUUAUGCUUAGUUGCCAGCAGGUCAAGCUGGGCACUCUAAGCAGACUGCCGGUGACAAACCGGAGGAAGGUGGGGAUGACGUCAAAUCAUCAUGCCCCUUAUGACCUGGGCUACACACGUACUACAAUGGCCGGUACAACGGGAAGCGAAAUCGCGAGGUGGAGCCAAUCCUAGAAAAGCCGGUCUCAGUUCGGAUUGUAGGCUGCAACUCGCCUACAUGAAGUCGGAAUUGCUAGUAAUCGCGGAUCAGCAUGCCGCGGUGAAUACGUUCCCGGGUCUUGUACACACCGCCCGUCACACCACGAGAGUUUACAACACCCGAAGUCGGUGGG